CCUACGGGAGGCAGCAGUCGAGAAUCAUUCACAAUGGGUGAAACCCUGAUGGUGCGACGCCGCGUGGGGGAAUGAAGGUCUUCGGAUUGUAAACCCCUGUCAUGUGGGAGCAAAUUAAAAAGAUAGUACCCCAAGAGGAAGAGACUGCUAACUCUGUGCCAGCAGCCGCGGUAAUACAGAGGUCUCGAGCGUUGUUCGGAAUCACUGGGCGUAAAGCGUGCGUAGGCUGUUUCGUAAGUCGUGUGUGAAAGGCGCGGGCUCAACCCGCGGACGGCACAUGAUACUGCGAGACUAGAGUAAUGGAGGGGGAACCGGAAUUCUCGGUGUAGCAGUGAAAUGCGUAGAUAUCGAGAGGAACACUCGUGGCGAAGGCGGGUUCCUGGACAUUAACUGACGCUGAGGCACGAAGGCCAGGGGAGCGAAAGGGAUUAGAUACCCCGGUAGUC
rnacentral:rRNA from 1 species